rnacentral:rRNA from 1 species
GACGAACGCUGGCGGCGUGCUUAACACAUGCAAGUCGAACGGAAAGGCCUCUUUCGGGGGGUACUCGAGUGGCGAACGGGUGAGUAACACGUGAGUAACCUGCCCUUGACUUUGGGAUAACUUCAGGAAACUGGGGCUAAUACCGGAUAGGAGCUCCUGCUGCAUGGUGGGGGUUGGAAAGUUUCGCGGUUGGGGAUGGACUCGCGGCUUAUCAGCUUGUUGGUGGGGUAGUGGCUUACCAAGGCUUUGACGGGUAGCCGGCCUGAGGGGGUGACCGGCCACAUUGGGACUGAGAGACGGCCCAGACUCCUACGGGAGGCAGCAGUGGGGAAUAUUGCACAAUGGGUGGAAGCCUGAUGCAGCAACGCCGUGUGCGGGAUGACGGCCUUCGGGUUGUAAACCGCUUUCGCUCAUGACGAAGCUUUGCGUGACGGUAGUGGGUAAAGAAGCACCGGCUAACUACGUG